GCUACCAUGCAGUCGAACGAACUCUUCGGAGUUAGUGGCGGACGGGUGAGUAACACGUGGGAACGUGCCUUUUGGUUCGGAAUAGCUCCUGGAAACGGGUGGUAAUGCCGAAUGUGCCCUUCGGGGGAAAGAUUUAUCGCCAUUAGAGCGGCCCGCGUCUGAUUAGCUAGUUGGUGAGGUAAAGGCUCACCAAGGCUACGAUCAGUAGCUGGUCUGAGAGGAUGACCAGCCACAUUGGGACUGAGACACGGCCCAAACUCCUACGGGAGGCAGCAGUGGGGAAUCUUGCGCAAUGGGCGAAAGCCUGACGCAGCCAUGCCGCGUGAAUGAUGAAGGUCUUAGGAUUGUAAAAUUCUUUCAGUAGGGACGAUAAUGACGGUACCUACAGAAGAAGCCCCGGCUAACUUCGUGCCAGCAG
rnacentral:rRNA from 1 species